rnacentral:misc_RNA from 1 species
AAGUCGUAACAAGGUUUCCGUAGGUGAACCUGCGGAAGGAUCAUUAAUAAUUUCCCAAAACAACAGCAUCCAAAUAUCCAUUUGGAUGUUUUACCCACAAUUUUCUUUUUUGCGAACUUGUUUUGAGUGAUCGGAAUUUAGAAAUUCAACUGCAGCAUUAUAUGCUGCUCUGAAUUUUUUUUCGAUCGCUUUUUUUCCCUUUUUUUUUUACCAUUCACCCAAUGAAAACUACUUGACUGAAAAUUGUUUUUUUUUUGGUUUCUUUGCUUGUACAAAAACAAACAGAGAAAAAAAAAAUAACCAAAAUAUUCAAUGUAAGAAAACAACUCUUAACAACGGAUAUCUUGGCUCUC